rnacentral:rRNA from 1 species
UACGGAGGGGGCGAGCGUUAUUCGGAAUCAUUGGGCGUAAAGGGCGCGUAGGCGGGUGCUCAAGUCCGUGGUGAAAUCCUCCGGCUCAACCGGAGAACUGCCUCGGAUACUGGGCGUCUCGAGUGUGGUAGGGGUAUGCGGAACUAUCGGUGGAGCGGUGAAAUGCGUUGAUAUCGAUAGGAACUCCGGUGGCGAAGGCGGCAUACUGGACCACCACUGACGCUGAUGCGCGAAAGCCAGGGGAGCAAACGGG